rnacentral:rRNA from 1 species
GAUUGUAGUCUGCAACUCGACUACAUGAAGCUGGAAUCGCUAGUAAUCGCGAAUCAGAAUGUCGCGGUGAAUACGUUCCCGGGUCUUGUACGCACCGCCCGUCACACCAUGGGAGUCAGUAACGCCCGAAGUCAGUGACCCAACCGAACAGGAGGGAGCUGCCGAAGGUGGGACCGAUAACUGGGGUGAAGUCGUAACAAGGUAUC